rnacentral:lncRNA from 1 species
GGCCACCCAAACACCACUAGCAUUAUCCAAAUAUUCAUGCAUACAUACAUACAUACAUACAUACAUGCAUAUAUGUAUAUAUACACACACACACUAUAAGAACUUGGACUAUUAGCAACGGCUAAUCACUGUUGCUAAUAGUUGUUUUGCCGUUACUAAUAUAUUAGUGACGGAAUCUCAUCAUUAAUUAGUGGUUGGAAAAAUUCUAGUCAUUAAUUACCAUUAUUAGCAAUGAAUUUUACAACCAUCGCUAAUAAGUGGUAUUAGUG